CUCUGGAAGAUGUCAGUCUUCCCAGCAAAGACAUUAACAGUGAUUUCUGUUUUUUCCGUCUCUGUUCUUAUCUCAAUAUGUUUGUCCUAUUUCUUGGUUAUUCUAUGUCUUUUCUAUUAGACUGUAAGUUCUGUGAUUUUUAUGUAUUUUACAUACCUAGUAUUAAAUGAAUUCUUAUAGAAGGAAUGCACAAUUGUAGGGAAAGAGUUUAACAGAAGUAAACUUUAUUAGAGACUCCAUCUGUCCAGAUGCAAAAUAGACUGCCUCUAAAUUACUGAACUUGUGAUCACUUGACAUUUUUAGCCAAAGGAUGAAUGACCAUCUGUCAGUGAUGAGGAUGUUCCAGAAGGGUUUACACAAAUAGUGGAAUGGAAAGUUGAUGGUCUCUAAGGUCUUUUCUGACCUUUAUAUUGUGUGACUUACAAAUGAACUAUAAUACAACUUUUUUAAAGUUAGAAAUGCCAUUAUUUCACAGAUAAUUAUUCUGAAAUACUACAGGAUGAGACCCAUUGAGAGGUUUGCGCAUUAAAUAAUAAUCAAUGAUUGAGUAAAACAGUGACGUUGAGAUGAUUUUCUUUAUUUUUCUUCCUUUUCCAGAUAAGGAUUUGAAGACACACAUUGAUUAGUUGAGGCAUUAAAUUGAAGUUUGGUCUAGAUUAAGAUUUAGAGCUCAAGAUUCAAAAAGCUUCCUUUGCAUGUUACAUGGUGAAACCUUCAAUUUCUUAAGCCAUAAGAAAAGUAGGUCAAAUAGUGAGGCUCCAGACCACCCAGCUACUCUGAACUGGAUGCCAUUUGCAAGAACAACUAACAAUGGGCAUUCUGUGUUUACACUCUGCCUUGACUUCAGUCGUCAAGGUCCAGAACAAAUGCCCCCAAGUCUGUCUCUUAAGGUAAAUUAAUCACUCUCAACUCUGUGAUCCCAAACCACAUUAUUGAAAUCACUGGUAUAAGACAACUUGUAUUGUUUUGAAGAUAAUUUUGUAUCUGUUAGUACUAUUAGUCUGUUAGCUCCUAGAGGACUUUCCCAGACACAGUAGAAAUUCUGUAAAUUCUUUUCUGAAUGAAGGCUGACCUCACAAGCUAUUUCUUUAUCAUUCUCUAUCCUAAGAGACCAGUCAGUUACAUGUGUGCCUCUGUGUGUAUGUUCCUUUGUAACAAUGUGCUUAGUAUUUUCUUCAGACAUCAGUUUGGACAUUAAUAAAAAUCUGGUAGUGUGUAGCAUUAAAAGCAAAAUAAAGGUUGCAUAUCCAGCUUAGUUUUCUUUUAAAGGGAUAACUCUAAAAGUUUGUAAUUUAAGAUUAAGAUAUGCAGGUUCAGUCCCCAGUCUGCCACAGUGGGUUAAAAAGAUCCA
rnacentral:lncRNA from 1 species